AUAUUAAUAAAGUUGUAUUUUUAUAUUAUAAUAACCAAAAAUCAAUUGAAUUCAACCCAACGUGUGUUCGGUGUGUACGCUGAACGAAAGUAAAUUGCUCCGAAUAAGUAAAUAAACUGCCCCGUGGAGCUGAAGAAACAAUUGAAUAUAGAAGAGGGUAAACAACAUAAUAAACCUGGAUACUGGAGUAUGAUAUGAACAAAAGUUCGAACUCCAACACCCAACCUGGAAACAGAAGAAGAAGAUAACC